ACUAACAGGAUUCCCCUAGUAACUGCGAGUGAAGCGGGAAAAGCUCAAAUUUAAAAUCUGGCGGUCUUUGGCCGUCCGAGUUGUAAUCUAGAGAAGUAAUGCCCGUGCUGGACCGUGUAUAAGUCUCCUGGGAUGGGGCGUCAUAGAGGGUGAGAAUCCCGUCUUUGACACGGACUACCAGUGCAUUGUGGUAUGCUCUCAAAGAGUCGAGUUGUUUGGGAAUGCAGCUCAAAAUGGGUGGUAAAUUCCAUCUAAAGCUAAAUAUUGGCGAGAGACCGAUAGCGAACAAGUACCGUGAGGGAAAGAUGAAAAGAACUUUGGAAAGAGAGUUAAACAGUACGUGAAAUUGCUGAAAGGGAAACGCUUGAAGUCAGUCGCGUUGGCCGGGAAUCAGCCUUGCUUUUGCAUGGUGUACUUUCUGGUCGACGGGUCAGCAUCAAUUUUGAUCACUGGAAAAGGCUCAAGGGAAUGUGGCAGCUUCGGCUGUGUUAUAGCCCCUGUUCACAUACAGUGGUUGGGAUUGAGGAACUCAGCACGCCGCAAGGCCGGGUUUCGACCACGUUCGUGCUUAGGAUGCUGGCAUAAUGGCUUUAAGCGACCCGUCUUGAAACACGGACCAAGGAGUCUAACAUGCCUGCGAGUAUUUGGGUGGAAAACCCAGGUGCGCAAUGAAAGUGAAAGUUGAGAUCCCUGUCGUGGGGAGCAUCGACGCCCGGACCAGAACUUUUGGGACGGAUCCGCGGUGGAGCAUGUAUGUUGGGACCCGAAAGAUGGUGAACUAUGCCUGAAUAGGGUGAAGCCAGAGGAAACUCUGGUGGAGGCUCGUAGCGAUUCUGACGUGCAAAUCGAUCGUCAAAUUUGGGUAUAGG
rnacentral:rRNA from 1 species